GGGCCCGCACAAGCGGUGGAGUAUGUGGUUUAAUUCGAUGCAACGCGAAGAACCUUACCAGGGUUUGACAUCCUGCGAAUCUCUUGGAAACGAGAGAGUCGCCUUCGGGAACGCAGUGACAGGUGGUGCAUGGCUGUCGUCAGCUCGUGUCGUGAGAUGUUGGGUUAAGUCCCGCAACGAGCGCAACCCACGUCUUUAGUUGCCAGCAUUUAGUUGGGCACUCUAGAGAGACUGCCGGUGAUAAACCGGAGAAGGUGUGGAUGACAGUCAAAGUCAUUCAUGCCCCCAUUAACAAUCUGGGCUACAACACGUACUACAAUGCUACGGACAAAGGGCUGCAAGUUCAGCAGAAGGACUAAGGCAAAAUUCCCCAAUAAAGCGUGGCUC
rnacentral:rRNA from 1 species